GCAGCAGCCGCGGUAAUACGUAGGUCCCGAGCGUUGUCCGGAUUUAUUGGGCGUAAAGCGAGCGCAGGCGGUUAGAUAAGUCUGAAGUUAAAGGCUGUGGCUUAACCAUAGUACGCUUUGGAAACUGUUUAACUUGAGUGCAAGAGGGGAGAGUGGAAUUCCAUGUGUAGCGGUGAAAUGCGUAGAUAUAUGGAGGAACACCGGUGGCGAAAGCGGCUCUCUGGCUUGUAACUGACGCUGAGGCUCGAAAGCGUGGGGAGCAAACAGGAUUAGAUACCCCCGUAGUCCCUGUCUCUUAUACA
rnacentral:rRNA from 1 species